AAAACGCCAGCGAAUUGGCAGGACGCAGGGAGUGAGCCGCUGCCCCUGCGCUCCCCCAGCCUGGUUGCCUAGCUGACCAGGGCCCUGCAUGGGGGACAGACAUGCUAAAAUAAAGAGGAAAUGUUUGUUGAAGGCGAGCCCAGCCCGGCGUGCCGCCAGACCUCAGGGCCUUGGGGGAGAAGUCCGUCUGCUCGCCUAGCGCUGAUGGAGGAGAACAGCCUGGGCCCGGCACAGCCUUCUGGGUAGGGGCCGCCUCGGCCCUGAUGGCCUUUGGACCUCACACUUCCAGCCACUGCAAUAAAUCUUCCCAACGGGCCAGGGUUUUCCAUCUGCAGAGCUCUUUCCCAUCCAGCAUCUGAUGCUGCCUUCCAACGGCCCUGGCACCUGGCCAGGCAGCAGGAGCAGCCUCUGAAAGAACUGAAUCUCCUGCUCUGACUCUGAGCACCUCCGUCUUACAGAGGGAGAAACUGAGGCUGUGGCGGGCCCCGGGGCCCAAAGAGCAUACUUUGUCCCAACUCCUGACCUGAGGCAGCCAAGACUGGUGAGCAAGCCCUGCUGAUCCUUGGGAUUCUGUUGGGUCCAGCUGGCCACUGGCAUGUGGGGUUUCCAUUGGGAACAUAGGGGAAGGAUUGUGGAGGCAAAGUCAGAGGAGUUCUGAGCCAGCCUGCAGCCAAGGCCAGCUCUGGGGACCCUCAGGUCACUGGGUUAGAGCAACCUCGAUCAGGAGCGAUGAGACGGACACGCCGCAGCCAGCACUGGCCAUUGGCCGGGUUCUCAUUAGUGCGCGUGAUGACGACAUUGUGCGUGGCACCUUGACUGAGAAGAGGAAGGUGAGGCCCUCAGGAGUCUGGCACGAG